UGAAACCGUCUAGAGGCAAACGGAGAGGACCGUAUGGUCCGCCCGUCGGAUUCAGUCCGCCGGUGCGGCGCGGGCGUCGGUCGCGCAUCUCUCUCGAGAGCGCGCCGGCGCCGCCUGCGUCGUGCGGCGGCCGUACUUUCGGCGGGCGGAGCGCCACGACCGGUUCGCCGGCGGCGAGAAACUCCCGGGCAAGGUGAACGUCGCUUCGGCGUCGGAGCAUACAGGCUCGGAGAGCGGAGGCCCGUCGGCGGACCGAGGAAGACCGGAUUCGCGGUGCGGCGUCGACCGCCCGUCGUGGGCGCGCGUUCGACUGGGGGGGACUGGUUCCAGUGCCCUUCGACCGCGUGCGUCUAUCGGCGGGACGGCCCGGCGUCGCGCCUGGGGUCGGUGGCGAAACGGCCGGCAACCUGUCCGACCCGUCUUGAAACACGGACCAAGGAGUCUAACAUGUGCGCGAGUCGUUGGGCGUUACGAAACCCGAAGGCGCAAUGAAAGUGAAGGCCCGGUCUCCGGCCGGCCUAGGUGGGAUCCGGGCGGUCACGGCCGUCCGGCGCACCACCGGCCCGUCUCGUUCGUCGCGUCGAAGAGGCGGAGCAAGAGCGUACACGUUGGGACCCGAAAGAUGGUGAACUAUGCCCGAGUAGGACGAAGCCAGAGGAAACUCUGGUGGAGGUCCGCAGCGAUUCUGACGUGCAAAUCGAUCGUCAAACUUGGGUAUAGGGGCGAAAGACUAAUCGAACCAUCUAGUAGCUGGUUCCUGUCGAAGUUUCCCUCAGGAUAGCUGGCGCUCGUCGCGAGCAGUUUUAUCCGGUAAAGCGAAUGACUGGAGGCCUUGGGGACGAAACGUCCUCAACCUACUCUCAAACUUUAAAUGGGUAAGACGUCCGACUCGCUCGAUUGGAGCCGGGCAACGAAUGCGAGUGCCAAGUGGGCCACUUUUG
rnacentral:rRNA from 1 species